AGAGUUUGAUCCUGGCUCAGAAUGAACGCUGGCGGCGUGGAUUAGGCAUGCAAGUCGAACGCGAAAGUAUCCCUUCGGGGAUUCCGGUAGCGUGGCGGAAGGGUGAGGAAUGUAUAGGUAACCUACCCCCGGGACGGGGAUAAGGGCCGAAAGCCUGGUAAUACCCGAUAUGGUGGACUCUAUUCUGGUAAGGUCCAUUAAAGUUGGCUUCGCGCUUUCGCCUGGGGAGGGGCCUAUGCCCUAUCAGCUUGUUGGCGGGGUAAAAGCCCACCAAGGCUAUGACGGGUAGCCGGUUUGAGAGGAUGGCCGGUCACACUGGGACUGAGACACUGCCCAGACUCCUACGGGAGGCUGCAGUCGAGAAUCAUUGGCAAUGGACGAAAGUCUGACCAUGCGACGCCGCGUGGGGGAUGAAGGCCUUCGGGUUGUAAACCCCUUUCGGGAGUUAAGAAAUGUAUAUGGACGAAUACUCCGUAUACUUGACAAAGGCUCCAAAAGAAGCCACGGCUAAAUCCGUGCCAGCAGCCGCGGUAAUACGGAUGUGGCGAGCGUUAUUCGGAAUCACUGGGCUUAAAGCGCAUGUAGGCGGUUUGGUAAGCAGGGUUGUGAAAUCCCUCGGCUCAACCGAGGAACGGCACCCUGAACUGCCUAACUUGAGGAUGGAAGAGGAGAGUGGAAUUCCUGGUGGAGCGGUGAAAUGCGUAGAUAUCAGGAGGAUCGCCAGUGGCGAAAGCGACUCUCUGGUCCAUUUCUGACGCUGAGAUGCGAAAGCCAGGGGAGCGAACGGGAUUAGAUACCCCGGUAGUCCUGGCCGUAAACGAUGGGUACUGAAUUGGGGGGAUUCCCAUGUUCUCCCAGUUGGAGCAAACGCGUUAAGUACCCCGCCUGGGGAGUAUGGUCGCAAGGCUAAAACUCAAAGGAAUUGACGGGGGCUCACACAAGCGGUGGAGGAUGUUGCUUAAUUCGAAUCAACGCGAAGAACCUUACCUGGGCUUGACAUCCGCUAGUACCAACCUGAAAGGGAAGGGAUCCGGGUUUUCCCGGAAGGCGUGACAGGUGCUGCAUCGCUGUCGUCAGCUCGUGUCGUGAGAUGUCGGGUUAAGUCCCAUAACGAGCGAAACCCCUAUUCUUAGUUGCCAGCGCGUAAUGGCGGGAACUCUAAGGAGACUGCCGGUGUUAAACCGGAGGAAGGUGGGGAUGACGUCAAGUCCUCAUGGCCUUUAUGCCCAGGGCUGCAAACGUCCUACAAUGGCCGACACAAAGGGUUGCUAAACUGCAAAGUCAAGCCAAUCCCAAAAAGUCGGUCCCAGUUCGGAUUGCAGGCUGAAAUUCGCCUGCAUGAAGCCGGAAUCGCUAGUAAUCGCGGAUCAGCUACGCCGCGGUGAAUAUGUUCCUGAGCCUUGUACACACCGCCCGUCAAGCCACCCGAGUAGGGCGCACCCGAAGUCCGUGAUCCAACCUUUCACGAGGAGGAAGCGGCCGAAGGUGAGCUUUGUAAGGGGGACUAAGUCGGAACAAGGUA
rnacentral:rRNA from 1 species